AUGGAAAGAGAUAUGAAUACAUUGGAAAAUAUUCUGAGGACAGUUAACAAGAUGAUGAAUUGCAAUGAACAUCAAAACACAAAAAGUUUGCCCAAGUUGGAAGAAAUUUCCCAUCUCAACACAAGGGCUAUUUUAAAAACUCCUCGAGGAUUUGAGAAUGAGAAAACCAUCAAUUCAGUUUCCCCGCUAUGGCUUCUGUGGAGGAGAAAGGAGACUGUGAAGGAAUCUUAUAAUUAAAAUGAAUUGAUCAUUUGCCUACUUCCCCACAUUCUUACCCCAAAUAUGUGGAAACAAAAGAUUCCCAACUCUAAGAAAUGAGUUGUUCAUAAAAAUGGAAGGAAUAGAAACCCGAGUUAUCUUCACAUUUUCUAGUGGCAUACUAGUAGCCCAUGAUAAUGAUCUCAGUACUGAUGUGUGUGUGUGUGGCUUUGUUAUUAUCUGAUUUUGUGUAUUUUCUUAGUACACAAAACCAUGUUAUUCUGAGUGCUCCAGAGAAGACAUAGUGAAGUAUUUAUACAGUG
rnacentral:lncRNA from 1 species